UGUGGAAUAAAUCUGCAAUAUAAAACAAGAGUAGAUUAAUUAUGUAAGUUGUACAAAAAUCCACCAGUAACAUAAUUAGCAUACGAUCAAGGUAAACAAAAGAAUGUGACCUAUAAACUCCUCAGCUUAAACCAGAGGUGUCAGAACUAUGAGUGCACUUAUAAAGGUAUAUUGCUCAUUCAGAGUGAUAUUUUAAUACUGAGAAAACUUGCAAGAAAUCAGGCCAUCCUGGAAAUGAGGUUUAUGUCUGUUUAUAAAACGAGACCUCAGGAAUCAACCUUUUAAACAUUAUUACACAGACAGUUUGCACUUUAAAGACCGUCGUAAUCCUCGUAUAUGUGACUGAAUCUCGAUCAAAGCUUCGUAGUUUGUAAC